UGGGGAAUCUUCCGCAAUGGAUGAAAGUCUGACGGAGCAACGCCGCGUGUAUGAUGAAGGUCUUCGGAUUGUAAAGUACUGUCAUUGGGGAAGAACGGUUUUCUUGAAAAGAUUGAGAAGACAUGACGGUACCCAAGGAGGAAGCCCCGGCUAACUACGUGCCAGCAGCCGCGGUAAUACGUAGGGGGCAAGCGUUGUCCGGAAUUAUUGGGCGUAAAGGGCGCGUAGGCGGGCCUUUAAGUCCGGUGUGAAAGAUCAGGGCUCAACCCUGAGAGUGCAUCGGAAACUGGAGGCCUUGAGGACAGGAGAGGAAAGUGGAAUUCCACGUGUAGCGGUGAAAUGCGUAGAUAUGUGGAGGAACACCAGUGGCGAAGGCGACUUUCUGGACUGUAACUGACGCUGAGGCGCGAAAGCGUGGGGAGCAAACAGGAUUAGAUACCCUGGUAGUCCACGCCGUAAACGAUGAGUGCUAGGUGUAGAGGGUAUCGACCCCUUCUGUGCCGCAGUUAACACAAUAAGCACUCCGCCUGGGGAGUACGGCCGCAAGGUUGAAACUUAAAGGAAUUGACGGGGUCAAAGCUGUUUUCCU
rnacentral:rRNA from 1 species